CCUACGGGAGGCAGCAGUGAGGAAUAUUGGUCAAUGGGCGUAAGCCUGAACCAGCCAAGUCGCGUGAGGGAUGAAGGUUCUAUGGAUCGUAAACCUCUUUUAUAAGGGAAUAAAGUGUGGGACGUGUCCUGUUUUGUAUGUACCUUAUGAAUAAGGAUCGGCUAACUCCGUGCCAGCAGCCGCGGUAAUACGGAGGAUCCGAGCGUUAUCCGGAUUUAUUGGGUUUAAAGGGUGCGUAGGCGGCCUUUUAAGUCAGCGGUGAAAGUCUGUGGCUCAACCAUAGAAUUGCCGUUGAAACUGGACGCCUUGAGUUCACAACAGGCAGGCGGAAUUCGUGGUGUAGCGGUGAAAUGCAUAGAUAUCACGAGGAACCCCGAUUGCGAAGGCAGCCUGCCGGGGUGCGACUGACGCUGAGGCUCGAAGGUGCGGGUAUCAAACAGGAUUAGAUACCCUUGUAGUC
rnacentral:rRNA from 1 species